UGGUGGGUAGUUUGACUGGGGCGGUCUCCUCCUAAAGAGUAACGGAGGAGCACGAAGGUUGGCUAAUCCUGGUCGGACAUCAGGAGGUUAGUGCAAUGGCAUAAGCCAGCUUGACUGCGAGCGUGACGGCGCGAGCAGGUGCGAAAGCAGGUCAUAGUGAUCCGGUGGUUCUGAAUGGAAGGGCCAUCGCUCAACGGAUAAAAGGUACUCCGGGGAUAACAGGCUGAUACCGCCCAAGAGUUCAUAUCGACGGCGGUGUUUGGCACCUCGAUGUCGGCUCAUCACAUCCUGGGGCUGAAGUAGGUCCCAAGGGUAUGGCUGUUCGCCAUUUAAAGUGGUACGCGAGCUGGGUUUAGAACGUCGUGAGACAGUUCGGUCCCUAUCUGCCGUGGGCGCUGGAGAACUGAGGGGGGCUGCUCCUAGUACGAGAGGACCGGAGUGGACGCAUCACUGGUGUUCGGGUUGUCAUGCCAAUGGCACUGCCCGGUAGCUAAAUGCGGAAGAGAUAAGUGCUGAAAGCAUCUAAGCACGAAACUUGCCCCGAGAUGAGUUCUCCCUGACUCCUUGAGAGUCCUGAAGGAACGUUGAAGACGACGACGUUGAUAGGCCGGGUGUGUAAGCGCAGCGAUGCGUUGAGCUAACCGGUACUAAUGAACCGUGAGGCUUAACCUUACAACGCCGAAGGUGU
rnacentral:rRNA from 1 species